UACGUAGGCAGCAAGCGUUGUUCGGAGUUACUGGGCGUAAAGGGUGUGUAGGCGGUCUCGUAAGUCUGGUGUGAAAUCUCCCGGCUCAACUGGGAGGGUGCGCCGGAAACUGCGAGGCUAGAGUGUGGGAUGGGAGAGUGGAAUUCCUGGUGUAGCGGUGAAAUGCGUAGAUAUCAGGAGGAACACCGGUGGUGUAGACGGCUUUCUGGACCGUAACUGACGCUGAGACACGAAAGCGUGGGUAGCAAACAGG
rnacentral:rRNA from 1 species